GACAAAACAUAUGAAGAGGCUAUGCAAGGACUGAAGUGGGAAAACAGAAUUCUCUCUUCUGAGAUGACAAAAUUGAGGUCCAGACAUGGCGUCGGCUGACCCCAAACUGCAAGUUCAUUAACUAUUCUCUAAGAUGGCUUCCACACGGUCUGCAGCUUAGCGAUUAUGCGGUGUUGCAGGGAGAGGAGACUCGUGGGAUAAGAAGACCUCAGUCUUUCCUGCCUAACACCUGUUUAAAGGCCCGAGCUGGACCACCGGGCUUCUUUUCUUAACAUCUGCAAAACGAAGAAGGGUCACGUAAUAUCUGCUCCCAAAUGAUAACUCAACACACAGCAAAUGGUUGCCUCUAUUCAUGAGACUAAAAGGAAAAAAUACA